AGUGGGAUAGCUGGGUCAAAUUGUGGUGCCAUUCCAAGUUUUCCAAGGAAUCUCCAUAUUGCUUUCCAUAUUGGCUGCACCAAUUUGCAGUCCCACCAGCAUU
rnacentral:pre_miRNA from 1 species